rnacentral:rRNA from 1 species
UACGGGGGGGGCAAGCGUUGUUCGGAAUUACUGGGCGUAAAGGGCGCGUAGGCGGCCUGCUAAGUCGGACGUGAAAUCCCUCGGCUCAACCGGGGAACUGCGUCCGAUACUGGUGGGCUCGAAUCCGGGAGAGGGAUGUGGAAUUCCAGGUGUAGCGGUGAAAUGCGUAGAUAUCUGGAGGAACACCGGUGGCGAAGGCGGCAUCCUGGACCGGUAUUGACGCUGAUGCGCGAAAGCCAGGGGAGCAAACGGGG